UACGUAGGGUGCAAGCGUUGUCCGGAAUUAUUGGGCGUAAAGAGCUCGUAGGCGGUCUGUCGCGUCUGCUGUGAAAACUCGGGGCUUAACCCCGGGCCUGCAGUGGGUACGGGCAGACUAGAGUGCGGUAGGGGAGACUGGAAUUCCUGGUGUAGCGGUGAAAUGCGUAGAUAUCUGGAGGAACACCGGUGGCGAAGGCGGCAUCCUGGACCGGCAUUGACGCUGAGGCGCGAAAGCCAGGGGAGCAAACAGG
rnacentral:rRNA from 1 species